UUGACAGAAAAUAAUAAUACUUUGAUGCUCUUCUCACGCCUACAAGCGAAGACGGCGUGAUUAACAACACAGCGUAAUGCGCAACGGUGAACGCCAACGAACUCCACCACCAACCUGGACGAAGCAUUUUGGACUGAAGCUGCCUCGAUAUCUACAAUACAUUGGAUACUACGUGCAGGAUAAUGAAUGGCUACCUGAACGCUGCUUGAAGCGGCAAGCUCUACAGUAUCACUUAUGCUCCUUUCCAUGGGUUGGCAAGAGGAACCGUGGCACGCAGCUCCACAGUCACCUGUGCUCUUCACUACCUUCGGAGAAGAUGCAUUGGAUGCUCCCUAUCAUGCACUGCCAUCUCAACAGUACCAUGGCUUUUUGUGUGGAUUCCUUCCAUUUUGAAUGCCACCACUGCUUGCACAGCAUCACAGCCUGCCUGUCUUGAUCUUGCGGAAGAAGAAAAUACAAAAUGCCUAUUUUUUUAAAUGCGUGCAUGGCUCCACGCAAGACACCACCUGGCGUCGGGGUGUUAGGGCUUUUUGCAGAGAAAAUGUUUGUAAUAAUGCCUUGUGUGUGCCCUAGUGGCUAAAUGUUGGCCUCUUUGCCUGUGUAAAAAUUUCACACUUAUGGAUACUGUUAAGGGUUCCUGUAUUAUUGUUAUUACUUAGUUUCCUGUUCAGGAUUCCUGUAUUGGAAAUUUUUGUUUCAUUAUAAAACUAAAAAUUAUAGUUGAAUUGCUGCUUUGUGCGAUAUGCAAUAUUCAGCCGAAGGUGGUCAGCAGAGGUCGAACAAGCGUUAUAUCAGGUGGAGAAAUUUUUUUGAGCAGGGGACUUCUUCGUUAGGGUAACAACUGUUUUCCUUGGCAUUAUUUAUAUAGUUCACUUUUCUCCACUUCAUGGAUAUCCAUCAAAAUGACUGAGUGCAUAGGGAGGGUGAGGCAAGU